UUCUUUUUAUGUUGUAUAUUUAGUUGUGCGUGUUGCAACCACCAUGAUCAAUUUUGAUAGAUUGGGGUAUAUAUGUACAUUCCGCUGCUCCUGGAGAUACUCAUGUGUAGAUGAACACGGAAAACUCAACCACGCCGGGGUCCAUUAACAUAUCGGUCCAGCGGUCCUGGAGACGAUAAACAGAAUAAUCUGCAGUUAGAAGAAUUCAUGCAAAGUGUCAGCUCCAGCCGGUCAUCUGUGAUGACAAAAAGACUUGCGAUGGAUGGAUCUCACAAAAGGAAACGCAGUAUCUGGUGAGACAAACAUUUCUAUAGACGAGAUAAAGGACCGGGUGGAACGGUGCUAAUAAUUCAUGUCCCAGCACUACAUGUAUAAUCCUAAUCUGUAAUGACUCUUCCCGUACACAAGAGACAAAAUAUAGUAUUCCCAAUGAAAUUUCAGGGUCAAAAGGUCAUUACAUUGUAUGUCAAGGUCAAACUUAUUCGUCAUAUUUCACAUAGCAUCUUGUCAUAAACAAUAAUUGCCUACAGCACUGACAACAUCUUUACUUGUCUGUAAAAAAGCAACAUGUACAUGUUUUGUUUUCUUUAAACCGUCAGGGAUAUAACAUGGGUCAAAUGAUGAACUUCAACGGGAAACAAUAUAUAUCCCAAAUAAAGGGGAUGUACUUGACUGUUCAUCAUGUUGUUAGUACUUGUGGCCACUACAGGCGUUACUUUAGAUAUACUAAGGUACUCAUCGUGUUGUUAGUACUUGUGACCACUGCAGGUGUUACUUUAGAUGUAUUGAACAUGCGAUGCUUAAUACCAUCCCCAAUAUGCAUUAAAUGUUAUUCUAGAU